AUGAACGCUAGCUACAGGCUUAACACAUGCAAGUCGAGGGGCAGCGGGAUUGAAGCUUGCUUCAAUUGCCGGCGACCGGCGCACGGGUGAGUAACGCGUAUCCAACCUUCCGCUUACUCGGGGAUAGCCUUUCGAAAGAAAGAUUAAUACCCGAUGGUAUCUUAAGCACGCAUGAGAUUAAGAUUAAAGAUUUAUCGGUAAGCGAUGGGGAUGCGUUCCAUUAGGCAGUUGGCGGGGUAACGGCCCACCAAACCUACGAUGGAUAGGGGUUCUGAGAGGAAGGUCCCCCACAUUGGAACUGAGACACGGUCCAAACUCCUACGGGAGGCAGCAGUGAGGAAUAUUGGUCAAUGGGCGAGAGCCUGAACCAGCCAAGUAGCGUGAAGGAUGACGGCCCUACGGGUUGUAAACUUCUUUUGUGCGGGAAUAAAGGAACCUACGUGUAGGUUUUUGCAUGUACCGUAACGAAUAAGCAUCGGCUAACUCCGUGCCAGCAGCCGCGGUAAUACGGAGGAUGCGAGCGUUAUCCGGAUUUAUUGGGUUUAAAGGGAGCGUAGACGGGUUUUUAAGUCAGCUGUGAAAGUUUGGGGCUCAACCUUAAAAUUGCAGUUGAAACUGGAGACCUUGAGUACGGUUGAGGCAGGCGGAAUUCGUGGUGUAGCGGUGAAAUGCUUAGAUAUCACGAAGAACCCCGAUUGCGAAGGCAGCCUGCUAAGCCGCCACUGACGUUGAGGCUCGAAAGUGCGGGUAUCAAACAGGAUUAGAUACCCUGGUAGUCCGCACGGUAAACGAUGGAUACUCGCUGUUGGCGAUAGACAGUCAGCGGCCAAGCGAAAGCGUUAAGUAUCCCACCUGGGUAGUACGCCGGCAACGGUGAAACUCAAAGGAAUUGACGGGGGCCCGCACAAGCGGUGGAGUAUGUGGUUUAAUUCGACGCAACGCGAAGAACCUUACCAAGUCUUGACAUCCCUUGACGAACAUAGAAAUAUGUUUUCUCUUCGGAGCAAGGAGACAGGUGGUGCAUGGUUGUCGUCAGCUCGUGCCGUGAGGUGUCGGCUUAAGUGCCAUAACGAGCGCAACCCUUGCUGCCAGUUACUAACAGGUCAUGCUGAGGACUCUGGCAGGACUGCCAUCGUAAGAUGCGAGGAAGGUGGGGAUGACGUCAAAUCAGCACGGCCCUUACGUCCGGGGCUACACACGUGUUACAAUGGGGAGUACAGAGGGCAGCUACCGGGCGACCGGAUGCGAAUCCCGAAAGCUCCUCUCAGUUCGGACUGGAGUCUGCAACCCGACUCCACGAAGCUGGAUUCGCUAGUAAUCGCGCAUCAGCCACGGCGCGGUGAAUACGUUCCCGGGCCUUGUACACACCGCCCGUCAAGCCAUGAAAGCCGGGGGUACCUGAAGUACGUAACCGCGAGGAUCGUCCUAGGGUAAAACCGGUAAUUGGGGCU
rnacentral:rRNA from 1 species